CCAACAGUUCCUGACCAUUCAAACACCCCAACAUUUGCUACUGUUGUUCUGCGCAUACAUAAUGAAAGAUGGGAAGGCGUUCCUUUUAUAUUAAAGGCAGGGAAAGCAUUAAACUCAAGAAAGGCAGAGAUACGUGUUCAAUUUAAGGAUGUUCCUGGUGAUAUAUUCAAGUGUAAAAAGCAAGGAAGAAAUGAGUUUGUAAUACGCCUGCAACCCUCAGAAGCUAUCUACAUGAAACUUACGGUCAAGCAGCCUGGAUUGGAGAUGUCAACUGCUCAAAGUGAACUGGACUUGUC
rnacentral:misc_RNA from 1 species